AUUGAACGCUGGCGGCAUGCCUUACACAUGCAAGUCGAACGGCAGCACGGAGCUUGCUCUGGUGGCGAGUGGCGAACGGGUGAGUAAUAUAUCGGAACGUACCCUAGAGUGGGGGAUAACGUAGCGAAAGUUACGCUAAUACCGCAUACGAUCUAAGGAUGAAAGUGGGGGAUCGCAAGACCUCAUGCUCGUGGAGCGGCCGAUAUCUGAUUAGCUAGUUGGUAGGGUAAAAGCCUACCAAGGCAUCGAUCAGUAGCUGGUCUGAGAGGACGACCAGCCACACUGGAACUGAGACACGGUCCAGACUCCUACGGGAGGCAGCAGUGGGGAAUUUUGGACAAUGGGCGAAAGCCUGAUCCAGCAAUGCCGCGUGAGUGAAGAAGGCCUUCGGGUUGUAAAGCUCUUUUGUCAGGGAAGAAACGGUGAAAGCUAAUAUCUUUUGCUAAUGACGGUACCUGAAGAAUAAGCACCGGCUAACUACGUGCCAGCAGCCGCGGUAAUACGUAGGGUGCAAGCGUUAAUCGGAAUUACUGGGCGUAAAGCGUGCGCAGGCGGUUUUGUAAGUCUGAUGUGAAAUCCCCGGGCUCAACCUGGGAAUUGCAUUGGAGACUGCAAGGCUAGAAUCUGGCAGAGGGGGGUAGAAUUCCACGUGUAGCAGUGAAAUGCGUAGAUAUGUGGAGGAACACCGAUGGCGAAGGCAGCCCCCUGGGUCAAGAUUGACGCUCAUGCACGAAAGCGUGGGGAGCAAACAGGAUUAGAUACCCUGGUAGUCCACGCCCUAAACGAUGUCUACUAGUUGUCGGGUCUUAAUUGACUUGGUAACGCAGCUAACGCGUGAAGUAGACCGCCUGGGGAGUACGGUCGCAAGAUUAAAACUCAAAGGAAUUGACGGGGACCCGCACAAGCGGUGGAUGAUGUGGAUUAAUUCGAUGCAACGCGAAAAACCUUACCUACCCUUGACAUGGCUGGAAUCCUGAAGAGAUUUGGGAGUGCUCGAAAGAGAACCAGUACACAGGUGCUGCAUGGCUGUCGUCAGCUCGUGUCGUGAGAUGUUGGGUUAAGUCCCGCAACGAGCGCAACCCUUGUCAUUAGUUGCUACGAAAGGGCACUCUAAUGAGACUGCCGGUGACAAACCGGAGGAAGGUGGGGAUGACGUCAAGUCCUCAUGGCCCUUAUGGGUAGGGCUUCACACGUCAUACAAUGGUACAUACAGAGCGCCGCCAACCCGCGAGGGGGAGCUAAUCGCAGAAAGUGUAUCGUAGUCCGGAUUGUAGUCUGCAACUCGACUGCAUGAAGUUGGAAUCGCUAGUAAUCGCGGAUCAGCAUGUCGCGGUGAAUACGUUCCCGGGUCU
rnacentral:rRNA from 1 species